AGUGAACGCUGGCGGUAGGCCUAACACAUGCAAGUCGAACGGCAGCACAGUAAGAGCUUGCUCUUACGGGUGGCGAGUGGCGGACGGGUGAGGAAUACAUCGGAAUCUACUUUUUCGUGGGGGAUAACGUAGGGAAACUUACGCUAAUACCGCAUACGACCUACGGGUGAAAGCAGGGGAUCUUCGGACCUUGCGCGAUUGAAUGAGCCGAUGUCGGAUUAGCUAGUUGGCGGGGUAAAGGCCCACCAAGGCGACGAUCCGUAGCUGGUCUGAGAGGAUGAUAAGCCACACUGGAACUGAGACACGGUCCAGACUCCUACGGGAGGCAGCAGUGGGGAAUAUUGGACAAAGGGCGCAAGCCUGAUCCAGCCAUACCGCGUGGGUGAAGAAGGCCCUCGGGUUGUAAAGCCCUUUUGUUGGGAAAGAAAAGCAGCAGGUUAAUACCCCGCUGUUCUGACGGUACCCAAAGAAUAAGCACCGGCUAACUUCGUG
rnacentral:rRNA from 1 species